rnacentral:rRNA from 1 species
AGUGAACGCUGGCGGUAGGCCUAACACAUGCAAGUCGAACGGAAGCACAGUAAGAGCUUGCUCUUACGGGUGGCGAGUGGCGGACGGGUGAGGCAUACAUCGGAAUCUACUUUUUCGUGGGGGAUAACGUAGGGAAACUUACGCUAAUACCGCAUACGACCUACGGGUGAAAGCAGGGGAUCUUCGGACCUUGCGCGAUUGAAUGAGACGAUGUCGGAUUAGCUAGUUGGCGGGGUAAAGGCCCACCAAGGCGACGAUCCGUAGCUGGUCUGAGAGGAUGAUCAGCCACACUGGAACUGAGACACGGUCCAGACUCCUACGGGAGGCAGCAGUGGGGAAUAUUGGACAAUGGGCGCAAGCCUGAUCCAGCCAUACCGCGUGAGUGAAGAAGGCCUUCGGGUUGUAAAGCCCUUUUGUUGGGAAAGAAAAUCAGCAGGUUAAUACCCCGCUGUUCUGACGGUACCCAAAGAAUAAGCACCGGCUAACUUCGUG